GAUGAACGCUGGCGGCGUGCUUAACACAUGCAAGUCGAACGGGAGUCUUCGGACUGUAGUGGCGCACGGGUGAGUAACGCGUAACUGACCUACCCCAAAGUCGCGGAUAACGAUUCGAAAGAAUCGCUAAUACGUGAUGUGCUGUCAGAUUGUGUUCUGCCAGUAAAGAUUGAUUGCUUUGGGAUGGGGUUGCGUUCCAUCAGCUAGUUGGUGGGGUAAAGGCCCACCAAGGCGACGACGGAUAGCCGGUCUGAGAGGGUGGCCGGCCACAGGGGCACUGAGACACGGGUCCCACUCCUACGGGAGGCAGCAGUUAGGAAUCUUCCACAAUGGGCGAAAGCCUGAUGGAGCGACGCCGCGUGAGGGAUGAAGGUCUUCGGAUCGUAAACCUCUGAAUCAGGGACGAAAGACACUUCGGUGGGAUGACGGUACCUGAGUAAUAGCACCGGCUAACUCCGUGCCAGCCGCCGCGGUAAGAC
rnacentral:rRNA from 1 species